CCUACGGGAGGCAGCAGUAGGGAAUCUUCGGCAAUGGGCGCAAGCCUGACCGAGCGAUGCCGCGUGGGGGAUGAAGGCCUUCGGGUCGUAAAGCUCUGUCAGAGGGGAAGAAAUGCAGGUGGUGAACAACCAUUCUGUUUGACGGUACCCUCAAAGGAAGCACCGGCUAACUCCGUGCCAGCAGCCGCGGUAAUACGGAGGGUGCGAGCGUUGUUCGGAAUUAUUGGGCGUAAAGCGCGUGUAGGCGGUUUGUUAAGUCUGAGGUAAAAGCCCCGGGCUCAACCUGGGAAGUGCAUUGGAGACUGGCAGACUUGAGUACGGGAGAGGAGAGUGAAAUUCCCAGUGUAGGAGUGAAAUCCGUAGAUAUUGGGAGGAACACCGGUGGCGAAGGCGACUCUCUGGCCCGAUACUGACGCUGAGACGCGAAAGCGGGGGGAGCAAACAGGAUUAGAUACCCCGGUAGU
rnacentral:rRNA from 1 species